rnacentral:lncRNA from 1 species
GAUGCAUUCCCGAAGGAUACGUGCAUGCGCAUACUUCUAUAGGUACAUGCUCGUGUAGAUUUCUGAUGCAUGUAGAAGCAAAACCAAAUUCUGGGAGGAGACCUUUUCAUAACAAACUGUCCCCUACUAUUUAUUCCAGGUGCGACGGGACCGAUGUAUCCUGUGGCAGUAUUUUUCCUUUUCAGUCCUACCUGGGCAUCACACUUUUGUUUGAGAUCACACAGCUGCUGCUGAGUUUGUUUAAUUAACGCGAGUUUCAGAUCGUCCAGCUCUGACCGAUGCUCCCUCUUCAGUUUUUCGAUAUUUUCGACAUGCCUCUUCUCCUCGAUUUCUAGCUUUUGCUGCGCUCUCAGCAAUUCUCCAUCAUGUUCUUCUCUUAGAUUUUCCAAGUCUCGCAUCCACUGCUGCUUCUCGCACAAGUGGGAUUCUCUCACUUCUUCCAGUUUCACUUCCGUGUCCUUUUCCUGAAGAAGCGAAGAACAAGGCAAACCUAUGCGUCUUCGUCCUUUUCCGUAGUCAAGAAUAACCGGAAAAAUCUAUUCUCGUUUGCACUGAACACGGCCGACACGCAAAACAGCAGAAGUUGAACUCCUGACUCGUCACACGCGUCCCCUGCGUCACCAAGAGAUGCAGAGAAGCUUCCAAUCGGCGGGGUACAUGAUUGGCUCUCGAAUGUUGCUUGUGAACCUCGGGGGGUUUUGUUGCUGUACACCUGGUUACAGAUGUGAAAAAGAUGGCACCAUGUGUAGAUGAAAAACGUGGUUGAGCGUAACCGUCUCUGGUGAGACGGACGCGGCGAAAGCUUUGGUGUGUCCGUCGGCCCACGAGUUUCUCCUUUUCCUCUCUCAGGUCUCGAACUUUGAUAACGAGAGUAGUUACACGCUCGUCGACCUCCUCCAUGCGGCUCUUCAUGUUUGCAGUUUCCUUCCGCAAAUUCUGCUCCCUCUCCCAGGCUUCGGCUGCCUCUCGCUUGCUCGCUCGCUGGCUUUCCUGAAGAAUGGCCUCGAUCUGACUUCGUUGUUCUUUAAGUUCCACAAUGGUUAACUCUGGACAUCCAUUUCCGCUUUAGCCUGGGCCGUUUUCUCAAACUCGUCUUGAAGCUGAGACAAGGUACGCUGCAUCUGCGCGAGAGACUCGUCUUUCGACGUGUCAGCGAGCCUCGUCUCCUGCUCCGCAAUCGUCCUAAGACCCACGCGAUGACAGACAUCGGCCAAAAGUAUCGUUUCUCCAUGGGAAACCGAAGCCCUGUUCCCUAACUGCUCACCCCUGAAGUCGACAACUUCAAAACUCUGCUGAGGAAGAGAGUCAUGUCAAGCGCAGCUCAGAUGGAGCGAACGGAAUAGACUACUUGGCUCAGAUCCCCCAGACAGGUUACGCUGCACAGGUUCCGUUGCACAGAGUGUCCCUGACACAAACAAUGCAGGCAGACGAGAUCUACCUGCGAAUUCGCCGGCAGCUCGCAGCCCGAAACCGUACCUACCUUUGAAGAACUGAAAUCUGUUCUUCCAUAUGCUUGAUUUCCUCUUGGUGUUGCGAGCGUUGCAACAUAAACUGCAAGGAAGCCAGCGAGAGAGAGGCUGAAAGAUGCUGUUUCUCCCUCUGUGCCUGGCGUGGUACCAUACGUCGGCCAGCCGAGCGGUUUUGAAAGGAAAUGCGUUUCACGAAACACAGAAAUUCUAUCAUUAGUCGCUGCUAGUACCUCCUGUUUUCCCAACGAGGCAAAUGCCUUCCCGAAGCGACUUUGACCAGAACAGGAUGCUGCUGCUAACGGGGACUGAAAUCCACCGGUGUUCGGCAACUGAGGCUUACCGACUCAAGGGCCUUGUUCUGAGCAUCCUUGAGCUCUGCCUUCUCCAUAUCGUGCGCCUUCGCCUGUCGCAACCAACCCAAACACUGACUCAAAAGAUGAGCGCCGCCUCCGUAAGGGAAGCAAGACGUCACAAUGUUUUUCUCUGCUUGCUCGUUACCCCUCGCUGUGGUACCGCGAGAGUGAGUAUUCGGUGCGCUGACAAUCCUACACUCCUCAUCCCAGCGCUGCACUGGACUCACCGCGUGUCGCAAGAGGACUUCUGUGAGUACCUCACACAUCCUCGACAGUCUGCGUGAUACUAGGCAUUGAUGCACUGAACCACAUCGUGCGUUUCUCUAAAGCCACCUAGAAGGUUUGGCUACGAAACAAGCUUUUAUCGUAAAGGAAGUUUGCCCCGUUCCUUCACUUGUUUCCCAAGGGUACACGUUUCUGCGUACUCGUCAGGUACCUGAAGAUGAUCCGUGACUGCAUGAAGAUUGGGCAUUCGUCUUUGUGACUUUGAAAUGCAGUUUCUGUUCCAAAGACAAAGAUGCACCGAACAGC